ensembl:lncRNA
AAAACAUUCAAGUUUGACAACCACACUGUAAGGAAGAUGGAUUCUGCUUCGGUUCACUCUGGCCGCUAAAAUGCUGCCAACAGAGAGCAUUGAUGGCGUUUCGCUCUAUUUCAGGUCACCUACGCCCCUGGUCAGUGUGGCUCCCCCAGACCAGACUGAGCCCAUGUCACCCGCUGAGGACGCCUUCCCUCGGGCACAGGUAGUCAGCGCAGUCUCCCUGUGGCUUCUACGGAAGGGGUCUCAUGCUUUGUGUAUCAUGGCUUUGCAGCCCUGGACAUAUCAGAAUCUCUCACGUAAAGGCAUGCUCUUGUUUUGGCCAAGAGAUGUUUUGGCAAACUGAGGCCUGACAUAUGGUGAAGGAGGCAACAUUUUACCAGGAGGAACCAUAAUCCCACUUGGAGUGACUGUUGGGGAGGUUUUAAUGGAAGAAGGAAGUGUCUGGGGAUUACAGUUCUUUCCACUUCCCUCUUGAUUCUCUCCUGUACUCUCUAUCUCCUGCUGUGGGGACAGACGGAACUGCUCCCUGAUCUGUUUUACUCUGGACAAAACCCCAGGAAGGCACUUCUGCCCGGUGCUUUACAUGCUCUGCAAAACUUAAAAGAAAGAAGCCCUGAUGGAAAACACAGAUACGGACAGCAUGUUUUUUUCAUGGCAGAUGCACCUUCUGGUGCCUCCUAUCCGGGCAUCCUGUCUAGACCAGGUAUCUGCAGUCAGACAGUGUGUGUCCAGGGAGGUGCAGAGGAAAGAGAACCCGGACAUGGGAUUCCCAUGACACCGUGUAUUCUCCCUUAGUCCUUACGGCAGUGCUGUGAAGGGUGGUCCCAUCAUGCCCACGUCAUAGAUGAGGCAACAGAGGUCAGGAUUGCUAAACAGCUCUCCGUCAGUGCGGUGACUCUUCUCGACUUCUGCCAACACGGACAGAGCAUGAGCAGCAGAAAGACACAGACCAACACCGCUUCUCUUUGGGUUCUUGUCACCUCCUGCCUCUUGGCCCCUGCUCACAGCAGGUAAGGAGAACCAACUACACCACCAUAACACUGGCUACUCUGGUGUGCUGUGAAGGGAAACCCCGCUGGGCAUGGGAAGCUGGAAACAGUAAGAAGAGUGGAAGAUCCCGAAUCACGUGCAUUCUUUUUUUUUUUUUUUUUUUUUUUUUUUUUGCUUUUUAAACAAUUGGUGGAUCACUCUUCAUGUGCUUUCAAAGAAGCAUAUGUCGUUUUUUUCCCAUGGGUUUUCAGGAGAGAAAUGACAUGCACAUAUAUGGCCGUGCGUCUUAUUCGUACACAAAAC